rnacentral:tRNA from 1 species
AGGCGCGUAGCUCAGGGGUAGAGCACUACCUUGACACGGUAGGGGUCUGCGGUUCAAAUCCGCACGCGCCUA